UUAGCGAGUUAAUUACAAACUCCAAAACCCCUGUGAACUUACCUAUGUUGCCUUGGCAGGUCGUGGUGUGUAGCGUGAUCGCUAUAAGGGAUCACCGCCUCGCACCACGCUGAAAGACCUGUCAAAGGACCCCUAAACUCUGUCUUACAACUGUAUCUCUGAGUCUAUUAUAUAAACAAGUUAAAACUUUCAACAACGGAUCUCUUGGCUCUGGCAUCGAUGAAGAACGCAGCGAAAUGCGAUAAGUAAUGUGAAUUGCAGAAUUCAGUGAAUCAUCGAAUCUUUGAACGCACAUUGCGCCUGAUAGUAUUCUGUCAGGCAUGCCUGUUCGAGCGUCAUUUCAACCCCCAAGCCCUAAUCUGCUUGACGUUGGGAGUUUACGGAGACGUAAUUCCUCAAAUAUAGUGGCGGAGCUAGGUCGUGCUCUAAGCGUAGUAACCACACUCUCGCUUCUGCAGCCGGCCUAGGUCUUGCCGUAAAACCCCUAUAUUUAUUUUUUACUGGUUGACCUCGGAUCAGGUAGGGAUACCCGCUGAACUUAAGC
rnacentral:rRNA from 1 species